rnacentral:rRNA from 1 species
UACGUAGGGGGCAAGCGUUGUCCGGAAUCAUUGGGCGUAAAGAGCGUGUAGGCGGCCCGGUAAGUCCGCUGUGAAAGUCCAGGGCUCAACCCUGGGAUGCCGGUGGAUACUGUCGGGCUCGAGUCCGGAAGAGGAGUGUGGAAUUCCUGGUGUAGCGGUGAAAUGCGCAGAUAUCGGGAGGAACACCAAUGGCGAAGGCAGCCUUCUGGGCCAACACUGACGCUCAUGCACGAAAGCGUGGGGAGCAAACAGG